GAUGAACGCUGGCGGCGUGCCUAAUACAUGCAAGUCGAGCGAACAGACGAGGAGCUUGCUCCUCUGACGUUAGCGGCGGGCGGGUGAGUAACACGUGGAUAACCUACCUAUAAGACUGGGAUAACUUCGGGAAACCGGAGCUAAUACCGGAUAAAAUAUUGAACCGCAUGGUUCAAUAGUGAAAGACGGUUUUGCUGUCACUUAUAGAUGGAACCGCGCCGCAUUGGCUAGUUGGUAAGGUAACGGCUUACCAAGGCGACGAUGCGUAGCCGACCUGAGAGGGUGAUCGGCCACACUGGAACUGAGACACGGUCCAGACUCCUACGGGAGGCAGCAGUAGGGAAUCUUCCGCAAUGGGCGAAAGCCUGACGGAGCAACGCCGCGUGAGUGAUGAAGGUCUUCGGAUCGUAAAACUCUGUUAUUAGGGAAGAACAAAUGUGUAAGUAACUAUGCACGUCUUGACGGUACCUAAUCAGAAAGCCACGGCUAACUACGUG
rnacentral:rRNA from 1 species